UCAAUUAUUUAAUAUCUAAUGCAAGAUAUGAUGUUUACAAAAAGAUUACACAAAUAAUAAAGAAAUUGCUUGACAAGAUGUGAUAUAUUUGAAGUUAUUAUAUUUUCACAAGUUAAAUCUGAUGUUGUAAUAACAAAAGAAUUAAAAGAAAAAAUCGAAAAGACGAAAAGAGAGGACAAAGUAAAAUUUGCGAUUGGAAUGAUAGUAUCGUAUAGGGGAUAUGGAAAAAAUCACUGCGGUGUAAUAAUUGGAUGGCAUUAUAAAAACAAUCAAUACUUUAAAAAAAAUUUAUUAAAAAUCAAAGAAAGAGUAUGAUUAUAGGCAGGUUUAAAUACUGUUUAAGAAUGUCUGUACUAAUAAAUAAACAUACAGACCCACACAAAUAUUAAACCAUAUUACAUAAUCCUCUCUGAAAAUGAAAUUUACUAUGUAGAACAAGAUUUGAUAUCGAUAUGUCUACCAAUAUGGAUCAAUCAUAUUAAAACAGGACGAUACUUUUCUACAUUUAAAGGCACUCAUUACGUUCCAAAUAAAAUCCUGACACAAUAUUAUCCAACCGAUAUCGCUAUUAUUCAGGAAAUAUUUUCCAGUCAAUAGUGUGCAUUACAACAUUUACAAUUCAUAAUAUAAAUCAACCAAUCAUAAAUCAAGUGAAAUGCAAAGUAUUGUUAUGAUAUCGGGAGUUCUACG